AUGCAGUCGACGCGAACGAGUUCUUCGGAACUUUAGUAGAGUGGCGCACGGGUGAGUAACGCGUAAGUAAUCUACCCUCGCAUCUGGGAUAACCCACCGAAAGGUGUGCUAAUACCGGAUACGUCUAAGUUAAUAUCUUUUUUUUAGAGAAAGGUGGCCUCUGAUUCAAGCUACUGUGCGGGGAGGAGCUUGCGUACCAUUAGCUAGUUGGUAGGGUAACGGCCUACCAAGGCGACGAUGGUUAGCGGGUCUGAGAGGAUGAUCCGCCACACUGGAACUGAAACACGGACCAGACUCCUACGGGAGGCAGCAGUGAGGAAUAUUGCGCAAUGGGGGCAACCCUGACGCAGCGACGCCGCGUGGAUGAUGAAGGCCUUCGGGUUGUAAAAUCCUGUCAGAUGGGAAGAAGUGUGUAGUACUUAAUACGUGCUACAUUUGACGGUACCAUCAAAGGAAGCACCGGCUAACUCCGUGCCAGCAGCCGCGGUAAUACG
rnacentral:rRNA from 1 species